rnacentral:rRNA from 1 species
AAUCAACGCUGGCGGCGUGCCUAACACAUGCAAGUCGAACGCGAAAGUCCCGCAAGGGAUUAGUAGAGUGGCAAACGGGUGAGUAACACGUGGGUGACCUGCCUUCGAGUGGGGGAUAACGUCCCGAAAGGGACGCUAAUACCGCAUGACAUCCUGCCUUUGAAGAGGCGGAGAUCAAAGCCGGGGAUCGCAAGACCUGGCGCUUGAAGAGGGGCCCGCGCCUGAUUAGCUUGUUGGUGGGGUAAUGGCUCACCAAGGCAACGAUCAGUAUCCGGCCUGAGAGGGCGGACGGACACACUGGGACUGAGACACGGCCCAGACUCCUACGGGAGGCAGCAGUGGGGAAUUGUUCGCAAUGGGCGCAAGCCUGACGACGCAACGCCGCGUGGAGGAUGAAGACCU